CCUACGGGAGGCUGCAGUGGGGAAUAUUGCACAAUGGGGGAAACCCUGAUGCAGCGACGCCGCGUGAGUGAAGAAGUAAUUCGUUAUGUAAAGCUCUAUCAGCAGGGAAGAAAAUGACGGUACCUGAGUAAGAAGCCCCGGCUAACUACGUGCCAGCAGCCGCGGUAAUACGGCGGGGGCCAGAGUUAUCCGGAUUUACUGGGUGUAAAGGGAGCGUAUACGGCAGGGCAAGUCCGGAGUGAAAGGGGGGGGCUCAACCCCCGGACUGCUCUGGAAACUGUAAGGCUGGAGUGCAGGAGAGGUAAGUGGAAGUCCUAGUGUAGCGGUGAAAUGCGUAGAUAUUAGGAGGAACACCAGUGGCGAAGGCGGCUUACUGGACUGUAACUGACGUUGAGGCUCGAAAGCGUGGGGAGCAAACAGGAUUAGAUACCCGUGUAGUC
rnacentral:rRNA from 1 species